rnacentral:tRNA from 1 species
GCCCGCCUAGCUCAAUCGGAUAGAGCGUCAGACUCUUAUAAGUCUAGGAGGGCAUCUGAAGGCUGCGAGUUCGACCCUCGCGGUGGGCU